GCCGGGGUCACCUAGCCAGCCUCAAGCCUAGAAUGGAUAAACAGCCAGAAUGGGUGCCAGACUCAUAAUCUGGUUGCAGGGGUUCGAAUCCCCUCCCCGGCA
rnacentral:tRNA from 2 species